rnacentral:rRNA from 1 species
CGAACGCUGGCGGCAUGCCUCACACAUGCAAGUCGCACGAGACCUUCGGGUCUAGUGGCGCCCGGGUGCGUAACGCGUGGGAACCUGCCCUUAGGUUCGGAAUAACUCCCCGAAAGGGGUGCUAAUACCGGAUAAUGUCUUCGGACCAAAGAUUUAUCGCCUUUGGAUGGGCCCGCGUUGGAUUAGCUAGUUGGUAGGGUAAAAGCCUACCAAGGCGACGAUCCAUAGCUGGUCUGAGAGGAUGAUCAGCCACACUGGGACUGAGACACGGCCCAGACUCCUACGGGAGGCAGCAGUGGGGAAUAUUGGACAAUGGGCGAAAGCCUGAUCCAGCAAUGCCGCGUGAGUGAUGAAGGCCUUAGGGUUGUAAAGCUCUUUUACCCGGGAUGAUAAUGACAGUACCGGGAGAAUAAGCUCCGGCUAACUCCGUG